rnacentral:lncRNA from 1 species
GGGAUCCCACGCGGCCUCGACGGGAGCCGGGAGUAGGCGGACUCCCAGGCCGGGCUCGCGCUCUGGAUCCCUGAAUCCGGCCUUUCCGGCCGGACUGCCGCGCCUGUGGCCGGAAGAGCCAGCUAGACCAGAGAGUCUGUACCUGCAACCCUGGCGGCGUCCGAGCCCAAGGCGGAGUCUGGGAGACAAAGAAGUCCUCGCCGCCGGCCGCUGGAGGAUUCUGCCAGUAGUGAAGUCAGGGAUGGGCCCGAGAGAGCUUGGAAAGAGGACAAGGAAGGGAAGGAGUAGGAGUAGAAAAGCAUGACUUUGGCUGGGUAUGGUAGCUCCUGUCUGUAAUCCCAGCACUUUGGGAGGCCAAGGCGGGGGAGGAUCACUUGAGCCCAGGAAUUCGAUACCAGCCUGGGCAACAUAGUGAGACCCCGUUUUUAUUUUUAUUUUUAUUUUUUCCUGAGAUGGAGUCUUGCUCUGUCCCCAGGCUGGAGUGCAGUGGCGCGAUCUCGGCUCACUGCAAACUCCGCCUCCCGGGUUCAAGCAAUUGUCCUGCCUCAGCCUCCCGAGUAGCUGAGAUUACAGGCGCCCGCCACCAAGCCCGGAUAAUUUUUGUCUUUUUAGUAGAGAAGGGGUUUCACUAUGUUGGCCAGGCUGGUCUCGAACUCCUGACCUUGUGAUACGCCUGCCUCAGCCUCCCAAAGUGCUGGGAUUACAGGCAUGAGCCACCGCGCCCGGCCUAAUUUUUUAAUUUUUUCUAGAGAUGGGGUCUCGUUAUGUUGACCAGGCUGGUCUUGAACACCUGACCUGAAGUGAUCCUCUUGCCUCAGCCUCCCAUAGUGCUGCGAUCACAGGUGUAAGUCACUGAGUUUGGCCAUUAUUCCAUUUCUGUACACAAAAACCUUUCUCAUUCUGUGCUAUAACUAGUUAGCAUUUAAUUGGGUGGAUGUGGUAUAACUAGUGCCUUGUUGAUAUUGAUGCAUAUUUACAUGGUUUUGCUGUUAUAAACAAUGGUCCCUUGCUAUUAUAAAUCACACUGCUAUAAGUAACCUUGCAUCUAAAUUACUUCAAAUGUGUAACUAUAUGGGUAGGAUAAUUUCUAGAAGUGGAAUUGUGAACCAAAGUUUUAGGUGCAUUUGUAAUUUUGAUUUAUAACCAAUCUUUUCACUGAUCUACUUCUCUGCCUCUAAUUUCUACUAGGUGUUUGUUUGUUUGUUUGUUUGUUUUGAGACAGGGUCUUGCUCUGUCACCCAGGCUGGAGGACAGUGGUGCAAUCACGGCUCACUGCAGCCUCAACCUGCCACCUCAGCCUCCUGAAUAGUUGGGGUGUGUGGCAGGUGUAUACCACCACUUCCAGGUUUUUUUGUUGUUGUUGUUUAAUAGAGAUGAGGUCUUGCUAUAUUGCCCAGGCAGGUCUCACACUACUGAGCGCAAGCGAUCCUCCUGCCUAUGCCUCCCAAAGUGCUGGGAUUACAGGUGUGAGUUGCCAUGCCUGGCCCGGUUAUCUUUCUAAAGCAUAAAGCAACCCUGUUGAUCCUCUGCUUAAUUUUGAUGAUUAAGUAGUAUGUUCAAAAUAUAGAAAUCCAUGUAUUGAUAAUGAUCUUUUAAAAAAAGUAAAAGCCAAAAUAUCAGCUACUCAUCCUACACCAUUGAAAGUAGUGACCAUUAAACUGCUCUACCUCUACCUCCACCUCUCUACCUCUCUACCUCUCUACCUCUACCUCUACCCACGGUCUCCCUCUCUUUCCAUGGUCUCCCUCUCAUGUGGAGCCGAAGCUGGACUGUACUGCUGCCAUCUCGGCUCACUGCAACCUCCCUGCCUGAUUCUCCUGCCUCAGCCUGCCGAGUGCCUGCGAUUGCAGGCACGCGCUGCCACGCCUGACUGGUUUUGGUGGAGACGGGGUUUCGCUGUGUUGGCCGGGCCGGUCUCCAGCCCCUAACCGCGAGUGAUCCGCCAGCCUCGGCCUCCCGAGGUGCCGGGAUUGCAGACGGAGUCUCGUUCACUCAGUGCUCAAUGGUGCCCAGGCUGGAGUGCAGUGGCGUGAUCUCGGCUCGCUACAACCUACACCUCCCAGCCGCCUGCCUUGGCCUCCCAAAGUGCCGAGAUUGCAGCCUCUGCCCAGCCGCCACCCCGUCUGGGAAGUGAGGAGUGUCUCUGCCUGGCCGCCCAUCGUCUGGGAUGUGAGGAGCCCCUCUGCCUGGCUGCCCAGUCUGGAAAGUGAGGAGCGUCUCCGCCCGGCCGCCAUCCCAUCUAGGAAGUGAGGAGUGCCUCUUCCCAGCCGCCAUCACAUCUAGGAAGUGAGGAGCGUCUCUGCCCGGCCGCCCAUCGUCUGAGAUGUGGGGAGCGCCUCUGCCCCGCCGCCCCAUCUGGGAUGUGAGGAGCGCCUCUGCCCGGCCGCGACCCCGUCUGGGAGGUGCAUGCCUUCCUUAUUUCUCAUACUCAUCACCUCCUCUUCCCGCUUGGAACUGCCCACACUGGUGAUUUCCUUGUUAAGGAACUUGAUGGCGUUGUGCAUGCUCGCUGACAGGGGACGGCACUGAGUCAGGAAGCUAUAA